UGUUCUGUGGCUUAGUUGAUAAAGUUGUCGGACUAACGAUACGGAGUCGUGGGUUCGAAUCCCACCAAAACAA
rfam:Aedes albopictus isolate Foshan contig81287, whole genome shotgun sequence.